AACAUCGCGCACCUGCGGGAACCUGCGGAAGGAUCAUUACCAGAGAGCCUUUUGGCACUCCAACCCAUUGUGAACAUACCUAUCGUUCCCUCGGCGGGCUCAGCGCGCGGGGCCUCCGGGCUUCCGGGCGUCCGCCGGGGACAACCAAACCCUGAUUUACUACGUGUAUCUCUGAGGGGCGAAAGCCCGAAAACAAAAUAAAUCAAAACUUUCAGCAACGGAUCUCAGAUCGGAAGAGCA
rnacentral:misc_RNA from 1 species